rnacentral:rRNA from 1 species
AGGGGGACUGAGACACGGCCCCCACUCCUACGGGAGGCAGCAGCAGGGAAUCUUGCACAAUGGGCGAAAGCCUGAUGCAGCGACGCCGCGUGAGGGAUGAAGGUUCUAGGAUCGUAAACCUCUUUUCUUAGGGAAUAGUUUGGAAGGUACCUAAGGAAUAAGUCACGGCUAACUACGUGCCAGCAGCCGCGGUAAUACGUAGGUGGCAAAUGUUGUCCGGAAUCAUUGGGCGUAAAGGGUCCGUAGGUGGCAUGAAUAGUCUUAUGUGAAAUCUCUUGGCUCAACCAAGAAACGCCAUAAGAAACUUUCAUGCUAGAGAUCAUCAGAGGGAGGUAGAAUUCCAGGUGUAGUGGUGAAAUGCGUAGAUAUCUGGAGGAAUACCAAUGGCGAAAGCAGCCUCCUGGGGUGAAUCUGACAUUGAGGGACGAAAGCGUGGGUAGCAAACCGGAUUAGAUACCCGGGUAGUCCAUGCCGUAAACGAUGAAUACUGGGUCUUCGGGGAAUCGACCCCCUGUGGACCGAAGCUAACGCGUUAAGUAUUCCGCCUGGGGAGUACGGUCGCAAGACUAAAACUCAAAGGAAUUGACGGGGGCCCGCACAAGCAGCGGAGCGUGUGGUUUAAUUCGAUGGUAAACGAAGAACCUUACCUAGGUUUGACAUAUAAGUAGUACUGACCCGAAAGGUGAUGGACCCGCAAGGGAGCUUAUACAGGUGCUGCAUGGUUGUCGUCAGCUCGUGCCGUGAGGUGUUGGGUUAAGUCCCGCAACGAGCGCAACCCUCGUGGAUAGUUGUUUUCUUUAUCCAGACUGCUUUUACAAGAGGAAGGUGGGGAUGACGUCAAAUCAUCAUGGCUCUUACACCUAGGGCUACACACACGCUACAAUGGACAGUACAGACGGUUGCUAAGUCGCAAGAUGGAGCCAAUCCGAUAAAGCUGUCCCCAAUUGGGAUUGUAGGCUGAAACUCGCCUGCAUGAACCUGGAGUUGCUAGUAACCGCAGAUCAGAAUGCUGCGGUGAAUACGUUCCCGGGCCUUGUACACACCGCCCGUCACGUCAUGGAAGUUUGAAACACUUGAAGUCG